rnacentral:lncRNA from 1 species
GAUGAAUUAUGUUUGGAUAGGCUCAAAUUAAUCAAUAUGAGUAUACUCCCUGUGGACUCAGGAGCAGCCCAUGUUGCAUUUCAAAGCAAUGAAAUAUGUAUUUCCUCUAAUGGGAUACUGACAAAUGUUUUUAAAACUCUUAGAGUGUUUCUCAUGUGCAGCCAUCUUUUGUGGUGACAUGGAGCACCUGUGCAGACCCUCAGUAGAAUCUGCACCUGGGCCCCAGGCGCGCCAGGAUGGGGCUCAGGGGUUGGUGGGUCCGGCGGCUGUAAAGGAACAGGGUGGAGGUCCCAGGUUGAAAAAUUGUAAAAUUAUAAUUUUACAGCUUAUAUAAUUUAACUACUUCAGUCAUCAUGUCUUUUUCUUUUUACAAAGUCAAUUUUCCUACAUAACUCCAAAUUUUUUUCACACCAUCUAAGUAAUAUUUUAAUAUUUUCCAUAUCCAAUCCGUAUUCAAAUUUCCCCAAUUACCUCCAAAUGACUUAUGAAAAAAAAUGCUAUUUUAAUCGGGAGCCAAUAGCGGAUUACCCUUUGCAUUUGACAGCAGAGUUCAGGCUUAACCCUUAACCUCUUCAGGCUCGGAGGACCCUGGGCAGGAGAGAUUUAAGAACACCGUCCUCCCGCUUUCGCGAAAGGCCAAGAGUGACUUGAAAUGUAGACGCGGAGGCCUAUGGGAAAUGUAGUUUUAAAUAGGUGAGGUUCACCGCCUGGACUCUGGGAAGGGGACGCCACGCUCCUUCUGCGCAUGUGCAGCCGUAGCCUCCUCGUUCGUCUUCUCAGGACUCCAGAGAACCGUUGGGGAACUUUGGGGUGUGCUCGGAAAAUGCAGGGUGCGCACCUAGGGCGAGGGACUAGCUGGGAAGGGUGUGCCUGUGCUUGGGGAUGGGAGCAGGAAGUGUCUGGGACCUCGUCGCCCCCCGCGGCGGUGUAUAAACCCGGGCGGGCCGUCAGAGCGGAGCUUCAGAGCAGAGACAAGAGCCCAGAAAGGAGCAGAUGCUAGAUUUGCAAGAUCAGAAGCAGGUCUUGAUCCUCCUGCCCAGAAUGAACCAGACUUGAUGAUGAUGCCACCUUCAGGAGCCACCACACUGUGUGACAGUGGGGCAUUUGGGCCGUCCCUGGGAAGUACAGAUGCGCUGCUGUCACACAUGUCCACCACCACAUGUGACAUUAGUGACGUUAUCCUGAUGUCACAGGAUCCAAGAAUGAUGAUCUGUGAAGAGUUUUCCGAGGUCACCUACUUCUAACUCUUUUGAAAGAUUUAAAGACAUUGGGCCUGAAAAUUUCAGUGACUUGUCCAGGGAAACGCAGUUUGUGACAGUUCACUCUCUCACAGCUGAACCACAGUCCUCUGUACUCGCCCAGGAGCCACAGAAGUGAACAUCCCUCAGGUAUGAAGGUCUUCUUGAGCAUUUCCUGUUUGGGGUGUCUUGUGGCGAUGAACUACCUCAGCUUUUGUUUAUGUGGGAAAGGAGGAGAGUCUAAGGGAAGAGCUCACUCCGCCGUGAUGCUGAUGUCAUGCCUGGUCAUUCUAUUUUUAAGUUUUUGAGGAAUCUCUGUACUGUUUUCCACAGUGGCUGCACCAAUUUACAUUCCCACCAGCAGUGUAUGAGGGCUCCCUUUUCUCCACAUCCUCUCCAACACUUCUGUUUUCUUUGUAAAGAUUGGCACCUGAGCUAACAUCUGUUGUCUAUCUUUUUUUCCUUCUUGUUCUCCCAAAACCCUCCCAG